rnacentral:rRNA from 1 species
UACAUGGGGUGCAAACGUUGCUCGGAAUUAUUGGGCGUAAAGCGCACGUAGGCGGUCCGUUAAGUCGGAUGUGAAAGCCCCCGGCUCAACCGGGGAAGUGCAUCCGAAACUGGCGGGCUAGAGUACGAAAGAGGGUCGCGGAAUUCCCGGUGUAGAGGUGAAAUUCGUAGAUAUCAGGAGGAACACCGGUGGCGAAGGCGGGUCUCUGGGCCGAUACUGACGCUGAGGAGCGAAAGCGUGGGGAGCGAACAGG